UUAAAGCACGGGGACAGGACCUGUGGGCAGGAAGAGCUGUUGCCCUGGAGAUGUGAGGGGUGGUCUAUUAUAUACUUGUAAGAAUUGCUGGAUUGAGUCUCGCAU